CAACUUUUUCCAAGAUCGCCAUCGGCGAAAGACAACAUUCUGAUUCAGAGAGAGAGAGAGAAAAACGUUUUGGUUUUUUUCAAGGAUUUAGCGCCUCGAGGUCUCCGUCGUCUUCUUGGGCGCCGGCGAGUUGGAGCCUCUUCCGGCAAGGGUGGGCCCCUAUUCCAGGGCUCCACUGAGCCUAGCUACAUCACUAGCGUGCUGCACUAAGGUCCUUUGGGCCGUGAGCUCGCAGCUGGAACAGGUCUGGACUCGGAACUCGUUAUCGACGUGCGUGCUCUGCGCACUUUAUUUUUGGUCCAUCAAUUAGUUAUCUGCGCCGAAGUUGCAGCGCACAGGCGCACACCAGCGCAUAGCGCUGCUUGUCGCCGUCUUGACGCUACGUUGUGGGUUGUGCGGCUUGGUGCAAGGAGAGCUUGCACCACUGCCCUUGCCAUCACUUCGGUAUUUGCCGUCAGGACACCACGAGCCGGGUUGUGCGGCUUGGUGCAGGGAGAGCUUGCACCACUGCCCUUGCCAUCACUCUGGUUGUUGCCGUCAGGACACCACGAGCCGGGUUGUGCGGCUUGGUGCAUGGACAGUUUGCGCCAUUGUCCUUGCCAUCGCUCUGGUUGCCACCGUCAGGACAAAACAAGCCGGAAGAUUUGGGCUGGCUCACAUUAUCGACGUGCAUCCUCUGCGGACUUUCUUUCCUGGUCCGGAAAUUAGUUAUCUACGUCAAAGGUGGGUUGUGUGGCUUGGUGCAUGGACAGCUUGCGCCAUUGUCCUUGCCAUCGCUCUGGUUGUCAGCUUCAGGACACUAGGACCCGGAAGAUUUGCGCUGGCUCACACUAUCGACGUACAUCCUCUGCGGAAUUUUUUUCCUGGUCCGGAAAUUGGUUAUCUACG